CCUACGGGUGGCAGCAGUGAGGAAUAUUGGUCAAUGGACGCAAGUCUGAACCAGCCAUGCCGCGUGCAGGAAGACGGCCCUAUGAGUUGUAAACUGCUUUUGUACGAGGGUAAAGGCAGAUAUGCGUAUCUGUCUGAAAGUACCGUACGAAUAAGGAUCGGCUAACUCCGUGCCAGCAGCCGCGGUAAUACGGAGGAUUCAAGCGUUAUCCGGAUUUAUUGGGUUUAAAGGGUGCGUAGGCGGUCGGAUGAGUUAGAGGUGAAAUCCCGAGGCUCAACUUCGGAAUUGCCUCUGAUACUGGUCGGCUAGAGAGUAGUAGCGGUAGGCGGAAUGUAUGGUGUAGCGGUGAAAUGCUUAGAGAUCAUGAAGAACACCGAUUGCGAAGGCAGCUUAC
rnacentral:rRNA from 1 species